rfam:Candidatus Omnitrophica bacterium 4484_171 ex4484_171_scaffold_570, whole genome shotgun sequence.
GCCGGGGUGGCGGAAUUGGCAGACGCGCAUGGCUUAGGACCAUGUCCUUUAUGGGUGGGAGUUCAAAUCUCCCCCCCGGCA